UCAGGUUGAAGUUGUGAAGCUCUGUCGUCAGUACUCAGCUCCCAGUCCUCUAAUCUAAGAGAGCUGGACUUGAGUAACAACAACCUGCAGGACUCAGGAGUGAAGCUGCUGUCUGUUGGACUGGAGAGUCCACACUGUAAACUGGAAACCCUUGGGUCAGGUUUUUUUUAUUUUCUACCUCAAAGUUAUUUGAAUGAAAAUGGUUGGUACACUUUUGCUGAUUGUGUAACUUUUUUCUUCUAACUCCAGGCUGUCAGGCUGUCUCAUUACAGAGACAGGCUGUGCUUAUCUGGCCUCAGCUCUGAGCUCCAACCCCUCCCAUCUGAGAAAGCUGGACCUGAGCUACAAUCAUCCAGGACACUCAGGAGUGAAGGAGCUUUCUAUCAGGAUGGAGGAUGCACACUGUACACUUGAUACACUAAGGUAACCAGACAGAAAGAGUUGGCACACAAUUAAGAUGCAGUGGAAAGAAAUUUGUCAACAUGUGGUCAAUGAUGGUCCAUAUGUCUCAUUCAGACACUGGGGAAUGCACUGGAUGGAUGAAAAAAACACAUGAAAUCAAACGUGUUCUGAGGAAAACAAUAGUUUCUAAGUCAGUGUACUAACAUAUACAACAGAGUAUUAGGGCCAGAUUAAAAUAAAAAAAUGAAGACUUCGAGAUUAAAGUUAUUGACUUAUGAGAGUAAAGUAAUUACUAACGAUGAGAAUAAAGUCAUAAAAAAGUAAUUACUUACAAGAAUAAAGUCGGAGUAAAAUCAUUAUUAUACUUUUAAUAAUGUGGUGCUGAUGUGCCAAAAGAUUAAGUAUGUCCUUGUUUGAGAAAUCUAUAUUGAAGUACAUUUUCACAAAAUGCCCCAUGGCCCUCAUUUCAACAACUGUCAUCUUAAACAACAGGUUAGAAUGUAAGGACUUUAUUCUGACUUUACUCUCGUAAGUAAUUACUUUAUGACAACUUCGUUCUCGUAAGUUAGGAUUUAUUUACAACUUUAUCCUCGUAAAUAAUGAUUUUAUUACGACUUUAAGUAAUUACUUAAUCAUGACUUUAAUCUUGUUAGUAAUGACUUUAUUCUCGUAAAUUAAUGACUUUAAUCUUGAAGUCUUCAUUUUUUUUCCUAAUACUCCGUCAUAAACUUGGGUUUUUUACAGUGCCAUUUUUUUUUUUUUUUUUUUGGAAAGUAUAAAAAUAAAGUUCAUGUGAUGCAGGACAGACAAACAGGGAGCCUUCGCUUUUUUUAACAUUCUUGGUGUUGUUUUCUCUGAGUAUCGCAACACUGUCAGGAAAAAAUUGAAAGCGUGACAGAUGAGCCUCCUUCUGACGAAUGAUGAAAAUGCAGUUAACCCUGGUGUUAAACAGGAAAUCAUUUUGACUGUGUUUCUCCCUCCAGAGUGGAUCAUAAUGAAGAGCGGUGGUUAAAACAUGGCCUCAAGAAGUGUAAGUGUGGAGUCAAAACAGCAGACUGUCAGGUAACUCAGUCUUCAGGUGUGUGUGUGAUAAUAAACUGCUGCUGUGUUGUACUUUUUUUCUUCUCCAUCAGAUUUCUCUGUGCUCACACUGGACGCAAACUCAGUGAACAGUUUCCUCCAACUUUCUGAAAACAACAAGAUGGUGACAUAUGUGGGGUAUCAGCUGUAUCCUAAUCAUCCUGACAGAUUUGAGCUCUGUCCUCAGGUGCUGUGUAGAGAUGGUCUGACUGGUCGUUGUUACUGGGAGGUUGAGUGGAGAGGACAGGUUUACCUAUCAAUGAGUUACAGAGGAAUCAGAAGGAAAGGGAAGGGGAAUGACUGUGAGUUUGGAUUAAACAAUCAGUCCUGGAGUCUGACGUGCUCAGAUAACGGGUACUCUGUCUGGCACAAUAACAGAGAGACAGUCCUCCCUCUCUCCACGUCCUCUGUCUCUCACAGAGUGGCAGUAUAUUUCGAUGGUCCCACCACUCUGUCCUUCUACAGAGUCUACUCUGACACACUGAUCCACCUCCAUACCUUCAGCACCACCUUCACUGAGCCUCUCUAUCCAGGGUUUGGAUUGUGGGGUAGUUCCUCUCUGUCUCUGUGUUCUCCCUAACAGAGAGGGUCUCUUCCUCUCUCAACAAACACCAACAGCUGGAGUAAACAUUUACUCAUCUUUACCGAAUCAUCCUGGAAAACCACCCAGCCAUCAUUCCACAUCACUACACAUACACACACACACACCAAUACAACUUGUCCACAUUCACCAGUAUGUGGUGAUAAUUUGCUGUUGUGUUUGUUUUUGUGUUUGUUUGUUAUUCAAGUUAAAGAUCCCACCUUGGAAAUGAAUCCAUAUGGGUAUCAGAUCUCAAGCAGCUACUAUUGCAU